CUUGACGGAGCCCAGCCACAACGGCCGCUCCCGGCCCUGCCCGUAGGUGGCCAGGACCGCCUGGGCCUC
rnacentral:antisense_RNA from 1 species